rnacentral:rRNA from 1 species
GACGAAGGUGGCAAGCGUUGCUCGGAAUCACUGGGCCUAAAGCGCGCGUAGGUGGCCUGACAAGUCAGUGGUGAAAUCCCAUCGCUCACCGAUGGAACUGCCGCCGAUACUGUCGGGCUUGAGGACAGUAGGGGAGAGUGGAACUCCUGGUGUAGCGGUGAAAUGCGUAGAUAUCAGGAGGAACGCCGGUGGCGAAAGCGACUCUCUGGGCUGUUCCUGACACUAGAGCGCGAAAGCUAGGGGAGCAAACAGG